ensembl:misc_RNA Vault Vault RNA
AGGCUGGCUUUAGCCCGGUGGUUCCUUCGAGUCUGGCUCCCCAACCGCCCCGGCCGACUGGUCCGGUGGUUCGAGACCCGCGGGCGCUCUCCAGUCCUUUU